rnacentral:rRNA from 1 species
AACGAACGCUGGCGGCAUGCCUAACACAUGCAAGUCGAACGAUCCCUUCGGGGAUAGUGGCGCACGGGUGCGUAACGCGUGGGAACCUGCCCUUAGGUUCGGAAUAACUCAGAGAAAUUUGAGCUAAUACCGGAUAAUGUCUUCGGACCAAAGAUUUAUCGCCUUUGGAUGGGCCCGCGUUGGAUUAGCUAGUUGGUGGGGUAAAGGCCUACCAAGGCGACGAUCCAUAGCUGGUCUGAGAGGAUGAUCAGCCACACUGGGACUGAGACACGGCCCAGACUCCUACGGGAGACAGCAGUGGGGAAUAUUGGACAAUGGGCGAAAGCCUGAUCCAGCAAUGCCGCGUGAGUGAUGAAGGCCUUAGGGUUGUAAAGCUCUUUUACCCGGGAUGAUAAUGACAGUACCGGGAGAAUAAGCCCCGGCUAACUCCGUG